GUAGGAGGCAGAGAGGAAAUCCUGUGCAGCCUCCGAUGUGAGUAAGGAGGAAGCCACUGGUUUCUCUUCGCGCCGGACUUGCUCGUGCUGCCAGCCGCGCCGAGCCGCUGUCGCAACGCCCAGGAGGGCCAGGCUGGAUCGCGCUUGCCGUGCUGGAAACCCAUUGGGGAACUUUGAUGAAAUCGCCACAGACUUUUACCUGCCCUUUUUUCUAUAAUCCCCCGGAUUUUGCUUCUUCGAAUGCAAUGACUCAGCAGCUACAGGAUGAAUUUGACAGUAGCGUGGAGAAUGCGGAAGCUUGGAUGAAGGCCAUCCAAGAGAGACUGAGGAUCAAUGACAACACCAAGGGACCUCGAUCUGCCCUAGAAGCCAGACUGAGAGAGACUGAGAAAAUACGUGCACUGGAACCAGAAGGCAGCUUGAAAAUGGACUUGAUUCUGGUGAAGGCAGAUGCUGCUCUUCGCAGCAUCGGUGAAGAUAAGAAGCAUGAGGUACUGGCUAAACUGAAAGACAUUAAAGCCUUGUGGGAAGAGACAGCCAUAUACAUCACUCACUGCCACAGCCGUAUUGAGUGGGUCUGGCUGCACUGGAGUGAGUACCUGAAAGCCCAAGAUGAGUUUUACGCAUGGAUUCACAACAUGAGGGUGACCUUGGAGCCUGACAUUGAGUUGCAGCUUGGCUUAAAGGAGAAGCAGUGGCAGCUGAGCCAUGCUCAGGUUCUGCUGAAUGAUGUCUUAAAUCAGUCAGUCCUGCUGGAAAGGCUGCUAGAGGAAGCUGCUUCCUUGUUCAGCAGGAUAGGUGACCCCAGCGUUGAUGAGGAUGUUCAGAAGAAAAUGAGGGUGGAAUAUGAAGGAAUCAGGGAAGAAGCUCAGAGCAGAGUGAAACUGCUUGAAAAGAUAACUAAGGAACAUGAGCAGUACAGCGCUAACGUCAACCGGUUUCAAUCGUGGCUGAAUGGUGUGACAGAAAGAUUAAACUGCUGCACUGGAGAAGCAACCAAGUCUUCAACAGAGGACAAGUUAAAGGCACUGAAGGAAAUUGCCAAAAACAUUAGAAGUGGUGGAAAGAAAUGGAAGCACCUGGAAAUCCAGAGUGCGGAGGUGAUUCAGAAUACCUCCCCACUCGGAGCUGAUAGAAUGAAGGAUGAACUCGAAGAUCUAAGAAAAGCCUUGGAGAAGUUGAAACUGCUGACUAGGGAGGAGGAGGAAAGGUUGCUCAAGAUCCAACAGUCAGAAAGUGCCUAUGAGUUCCAAGCCAGACAAUUAGAAGCAGAUGUCCAGGAGUUGAAAAAAGAUUUACAGAGACUGGAAAAUGAUCUGGACCCUGGGGAAGGGGAGAAGACUGAAGAUGAAUUUGUAACUCUCUGGAGAAAAUGCAAUGCAACGAGAGCAUCUCUGGCUGCAGAGGAGUCCAAGGUUGAGAGGCUGAAGGCUCAGCUUAAGGACCUGCUACGGUUUUCUCAAGAUGUGCAGCCACACGCUGAGAGUGUUGUCUCUGCAAUACAGCAGUACCAAAGUGUUAGAGGCAAGACAUCCAAAAUGAGCACUGAUACAGAAACCCAUCUGAGAAGACUCUUCCAAAAUCCCCUGCAAGAUUUUGAACAGUGGAAGCCAUCGAUCCAGAUGCUCCUGGAGACUCCGGAGCCAGCGCUGGCUCACAUUGAGGCUGCUCUAGCUGAAAGCUCCCAGUUCAAAGAGAAGCUGAUGACAUUACAGCUGAAGAAAGAUUUGCUAAACAAUGUCCUUGGCGAGGAAAACGCAAAGUCUUUCCUUCAAGAAGUAGCUGAAGCUUCGAAGGAGAGAGAAGUUCUACACAAAAGUCUGCUGCAAAGCAAGGGCAAAGUCCAGAAUUUGAUAUCACAACAUAAGGACUUUGAUGCUGGUUUCGCACCUUUGCAGAAGAAAUUAUCUGCCAUUAAAGCCAAAUUAGAUCUAGAGAAGGAACCACAGCCUGACCUCUUGGGUAAAAAGACACAACUCCAGAGACUCCAGAUGAUCCAAGAUGACUUGGCAGAGCUUGUGAUUCAAAUGGAGGAGGUAGAGAAGCUUGUUCAGUCAAAUACCACACACAGGCAUGAAAUGAACCAACUGUCAUCUGACUCUCAGGACUUGAAGAGAUCACUGGAGAUGAUGAUACAGCAGAGUGAAGAGCAUGUUCAGAAGCACUGGGCAUAUAAGGACAAACUCUCUGACCUCCAGCAGUGGAUCAGAGUAACCACGGAGAAGAUUGACUCCUACAAGGGAGCUGAUGUAGAGCAGAACACCGAGGGCCGGGUGGCAGACCUUGAGAGAUGGCUGGCUGAGUUUCCAGAUAAGGAGAUCAAGCUGCACCUUGUGGAAGCUCACGGCCAGCUGCUCAUGGAGAAUUCUUCCCCAGAGGAGACUGCCCAUGUCCAGGCAGAGCUGGAUCAGCUGAAGGAGUCGUGGAGAUCACUGAAGGAGAUGGCAGCUGGUCUUCUCAAAAAGUGGCAGUUAAAUAGACCCGUGGCUGAUAAGAAGAAAAUAGCAUUUGUGGACAGCAGAUGGAUGUCUGGACCUGCCUUCCAUCUUUUAGAUGUAGAUCCCAACCAUCAGCAGGAGAGGAUAGGAGAAGGGCAAAAUACGAGCAGCCACCUGAAGCUUCUACACGACUUUGAAGAGUGGUUACAAGGAGAAAACACCAAACUGACCAAAACUCUUGCUGUGACUUCAUCUUCCACAGAGGAAACUAAGGCACGCCAGAGCAAACUGGAGGAGCUGCAGUCUCGUGUGCCUUAUGGUCAGCAUCUCUUUGAGAACCUUCUUCAUCUUCAUCCUGUCACUGGAAACUCUGAAGAUCUGGAGGACCUGCGUUACCGAUGGAUGCUCUACAAGUCUAAACUGAAAGAGUCCCUGAGCUCACCGAGUCCUGGAUCUUUGGAGGAACCAGAGAGAUUCAGAAAGGAGCGCCCUGGAGGCGCGUGCUCAUUCCUGAAUCGGGUGUGCUGGGCAGCACUGCCACUGCAACUGUUCCUCCUGCUGCUCCUGCUCCUGGCCUUCCUCCUGCCCCUGGCAGAGGAGACCCACAGCUGCACGCUGGCCAACAACUUCGCUCGGUCCUUCAACCUGAUGCUGAGAUACGAGGGCCCACCUCCAACCUAGCUCCUUGGCGCAGCACGAGGUGACUGUCAGACAUAAAGACUCUUUGGUUUUUAACAAUUGCAAGCAUCGUAGAUUUUUAGGGCUUCUAACAAGGCCAUCAUGUCAACUGGAUAGGUCGCAUAAAUGCAGCAUAAGAUUAGUCCACUUUAAUCAGUUCCUCCCGCAGAUGCUCUGCCUGUUUCUUCAGCCCCAUGAGUCAAAACAGCCUUCAUCACUCUCUGAGGGGACUCUGGUCCUUGCCAGCCACCUCUUCCAAGUCUCCUGGCCGUGUCCUGCUCUCGUCUGCCUUCCCUGUUGGCUCAGGGACCGCCCUGAAUAUUCACACCUGCAGACGGGAGCGCGAGGGUGCCACUUAAACGAUUAUUAAUAAUGAAAGCCUCGCCGCUAGCACUGGUCAGAGCCCGCCCAGGCCCUUUUUUCUUCUUCUCUCUAAGCAGGUUUUGAUGUUUAAUCCAAUUACUGCAUGCAGAAAAUUGCCCCUUAAUCAGCGAGGAGGGCCGGUGGUUCAGGUUCGGUUUCAGCUCUAUCACCCUGGCGUUGUCGCUGCCGCUGUAAGCGCUCCCGUGUGCUGCCGGGCCCGGGGCUGGAUGCUCCCCAAUGCGUGUCCUUGACCUGCCUGGAGGGUUUGAAUUUCGUUGUCAUACACCCUAAUAAGUCAGGACCCCUUUUUUGAGCUGCUGGAGGGAAAAAAAAAAAAAAAAACACAACAAAAAACAAA